AAGUAUAUAUAUAUUUAUUAUAUAGAAACUGCGAACGGCUCAUUAAAACAGUUAUAAUCUACUUGACAUUUUUUUUAUAAGGAUAACUACGGAAAAGCUGUAGCUAAUACUUGACCGAUUGCUCAUUAGUACCUUCGGGCGCUUUUGAGUAUGUACUUGUUAGACCUUAUAAGAAAAAAGUUAUUAACUUAAGGAAUUAUAACAAAGAAGCAACACAUAAUAAGACUUUGUUUUAUUUAGUGUGUAUCAAUCGAGUUUCUGACCUAUCAGCUUUUGAUGUUAGGGUAUUGGCCUAACAUGGCUUUGACGGGUAACGGGGAAUUAGAGUUCGAUUCCGGAGAGGGAGCCUGAGAAAUAGCUACCACAUCUAAGGAAGGCAGCAGGCGCGUAAAUUACCCAAUUCUAAAGAAGAGAGGUAGUGACAAGAAAUAACAAUGCAAGGUCAAAUUUUGGUUUUGCAAUUGGAAUGAUAGGAAUUUAAAAACUUCCUAAAGUAACAAUUGGAGGGCAAGUCUGGUGCCAGCAGCCGCGGUAAUUCCAGCUCCAAUAGCGUAUAUUAAAAUUGUUGCAGUUAAAACGCUCGUAGUUGAAUUUCAAAGAAUCUCUUUUUAAAGUUCACUUUAUUGGGCUUGAGAGAAAUGGGUACCCUCGGGUACGCCAUUUCGCUCAGGCACUUUAUUCGUGUCUUUAAAAUUAAAAAGAUUCUUUUUAAAAAUUCUUUGUUGCAUUCGUGUGAUGAGAAUUUUUGUUACUUUGAGUAAAUUAGAGUGUUCAAAGCAAACAGUUUAAAACAGGCAACUGUGUUUGAAUACUACAGCAUGGAAUAACAAAAUUGAACAAGCUAAAAUUUUGUUCUUUUUUCUUAUUUUGGCUUAGUUACGAUUAAUAGGAGUAGUUUGGGGACAUUCGUAUUCAGAUGUCAGAGGUGAAAUUCUUAGAUUUUCUGGAGACGAACAACUGCGAAAGCAUUUGUCUAAAAUACUUCCAUUAAUCAAGAACGAAAGUUAAGGGAGUGAAGACGAUCAGAUACCGUCGUAAUCUUAACCAUAAACUAUGCCGACUAGGUGUUGGAUAAAUGUGUAAAAAAUAGAAAGGCGUUCUGAAAUAAUAUGUUCGGAAUGUCUUUUUAGCUUACUUUUUUCAGUACCUUAUGAGAAAUCAAAGUCUUUGGGUUCUGGGGCGAGUAUUCGCGCAAGCGAGAAAGUUAAAAGAAUUGACGGAAGGGCACCACCAGGCGUGGAGCUUGCGGCUUAAUUUGACUCAACACGGGAAAACUCACUAGUUUAAGACAAGAGUAGGAUUGACAGAUUAAUAGCUCUUUCUUGAUUUCUUGGAUGGUGAUGCAUGGCCGUUUUUAGUUCGUGAAUAUGAUUUGUCUGGUUAAUUCCGAUAACGAACGAGAUCUUAACCUGCUAAUUAGCGGUAAAUACAACAUAUUCUUAUACAAGUAUAGAAAUUAUUGUAAAAGAAACAGGUAAGAAGAGAAAUAUUAUGAUAUUUUUAAUAUUCUUUUUAUUUUUUUUACUUUCCUUGUUUAUUUAUUUUGUUUCUUUUUUUGUUUAGGAAUGUAUUUUCUUGAUUGUAAAGCUUCUUAGAGGAACAUUGUGUGUCUAACACAAGGAAGUUUAAGGCAACAACAGGUCUGUGAUGUCCUUAGAUAAACUAGGCUGCACGCGUGCUACACUGAUAUAUAUAACAAGUUACUAAAAUUGUAUCCAUAUAUAUAGGUAUUUGAUAUCUAUAUAUACAUGAGAUAUUUUUUUCCUCCACCGAAAGGUGUAGGUAAUCUUUAUCAAUAUAUAUCGUGAUGGGGAUAGAUUAUUGCAAUUAUUAAUCUUGAACGAGGAAUGCCUAGUAAGCAUGAUUCAUCAGAUUGUGCUGACUACGUCCCUGCCCUUUGUACACACCGCCCGUCGCUCCUACCGAUUGAAAGAUAUGAUGAAUUGUUUGGACAAGAAAAAAUAGAAUUUAUAUUUUGUUUUUUUUUUGGAAGAACCGUAAAUCCUAUCUUUUAAAGGAAG
rnacentral:rRNA from 1 species